GCCCCUGUAGCUCAGUCGGUAGAGCACGUCCUUGGUAAGGACGAGGUCACCGGUUCGAUACCGGUCGGGGGCU
rnacentral:tRNA from 1 species